AUCUUGCAAAAUGACGAUGUUCCGAUUUCCUUUUCAAGUUCUAAUUAUAGACCAAACAUUUUAAUUCAUUUUCCCCUUAUAUUUUCUUUAGAACCCCUUUAUAACUUAUUUAUUUAUUUAUUGUUAUUUUUUCAAUUACAGAAACAAAACAAAUACUACAGCAACAUUUCCCACCAAAGAUUGAAAAAUAAAACAAAUAGUAUUACAAUAAUAUCCUUUAUUUUAAUAAUUAAUUUAACAAAAAUAAUUAACAGAUAGAAAAACCUCCAGCAACAACAUUUCCCACCAGAGUUUUUAUUUUGUCAAAAGCUUCCCACCAUGUUUCAAAAACAAAACAAAAAAUCUUCCCACCAUUCCCACGAAAAAUUCCAAAUAUUACAACAACUUAUUUGAUAUUUCGCUCCAAAAACACAAAAAUCCUCUAGAAAUUACACCAGCAGUUUUCAUCCCUCUUUGAAUUCUCCCAUUGAUGUGAACAAUCAAUGGUUCCGCCAGUAUACUAUCCUCGACAUGCCGUGAACCGCCAUAAAAUUGCCAUCGUUGUGCUCGCACCCGCUGCGCUCGGAAGUCAUCUCCGUAGGUUUUUGAAUUGCCUAUAUACUUUGGUUCAGGCAUAAAUUCGAGGGCACCGACGCGGCGAUGUAAGGUACUCAAUCUUGCUUAUACAACUACUUUGUCAUCAAGCACAUACAACUCAGCCGCUCUAUAAAGAGCGCUCUACAAAGAGUGAAGUAAGCAUUGAAAAUUAAUUUUAAACCACGUUGGACCACUAAUAUUUUAUGGCAUGAUACAAUGUAAUAUUAGAUGACAACUUUUCUUGAUGUAGUUGCAGGGUAUGGCUACUAAAUCCGAAGGCGUAAGUAGAGCAACUUGAGUUUAUCAACGAAUAUAUAUUAUAUGUUAUUUUUUACCUCCUCCCUGUUUUGAUUCUUUUGUUAGAUCUUUUCUAUUUAGUGCAAAUAUACUUCUAUGCAUCUAUUUCCACCUCUAAGAGUGUCAUUUGCUAAUUCAUCUCGCUUAAAGGUAUUUGAAUAAGCUGCCAUGUGAACAUCCGUUUAUUUGACGAUUGAGUUUGAAAUUGUUAAUUGUUUGCACCUGCUGUCAUUGGAUGCAUGUUGAAAGGGCUUGUUAGCCUCAAGUAGAUAGCUAUAGUUUGCAUGUGAUCUUGAUUAUAUAGUUUCUCAUUGAAAGGGCUUGUUAGCCUCAGGAGGACGAAGUGAGAGUCUAUUGAGUGCUCUGCAGUUUGAUGGUGUUUCUUUAAAUUGUUGUUUACGGAUCUAACCAUCACUUCUUUUUCUUUGCAGUUACAUGAUCAGCGUCAAGCAUCUAAAGCUGAGGGUCCAAACUCAUUAAAUAAAGAAAGUGUUCUAAUGUCGAAUUAUCCGCAAAUGCUAUUGUGUUUGAUCCAUCACGUAUAUUACCCAAAGAUCAGGAUAAAGGAAGCUUCUUCAACGAGUUAUCAGAAGGUACAGGUCCUGAAGCACAAGAUGCACUAGUCUCUGUUCUUCGGAUCAGUAGUUCUGCAUCAUUUGUUUCUGCUCAUGGAAGAGGUACUACAACUUCUGAUGGCCGUGGAUUGUCUCCUAGUUCAUCUGUUGAUUCAUUGUCUUCAAAGAAGUCAACACUUAAUCCACAUGCUAAUUAAGGAAUUUAAAUUAAAUGCAAAUGCUAAGAGCUCCGUCCCAUUUCAGAUGUAUAGGCCAUCGUUAGUUGUUGCAGAUAUUUCCUUCAAGUUUUUCUACAUGGGAGAUUUCUGCUAAUGUUAGAAAUUUCAAGGAAAUUUAUGUUUUAGUUAUAACUUGUGAUUACUCCGAUUUUUCCCUAGAGUAUGAUUCAGUUAUUACUUUGUUAAUAGUUACUUGUGUCAAGCACUUUGACUUUUAAUUGUAAUUUUAAAUAUUUUCAUAUUAUAAAAAGUAGAAUAUAUUUAUUUAGAUA